AGCGGCCCUGUCAUCUCAGCCUCCUGAGUAGCUGGGGUUACAGAGCUCCUUUCUGACAACUUGCAAUUGAUCCAACAUUUGAAACCUUAUGCAGGAGCCGGACAGCUUGGUUUUGAAUUAUAAUCUUACAAAUUACUGGCUGUGUGUUAAAUCUUUAAAUUACUGGCUGUGUGACUUUGUAUGAAGAAGAAAAUGCUUUGUCAAGAAAUUCUUUUUUGGACUGAAUUCAUUGUUGCAAAAGAUAGUUAUUUUGGAAAGAAAUUGCUUUAACAGUUUCUCCUGCUACACUAUGACUUGUAUGAAUACAUCCAUAGGCAUAGCGAUAGAAUAAUGAACAGAAAAAUUAAGAAGAACCUGAAAUUAAUAAAUACCUAGGUAUUUGUCAGCAAUCCACCUGCCAUUCUGUAAGCUGCCCUACUCAGAAGCCAAAAGGACGAAAAACAUCCAGCAAUGACCUGAGGUCUGCCAACAGUUCAUUGGUGGAGCUUAGAAGUAGAAUCUACCCCAGUGGAGAUUUGAGAUGAUUCGCUAAAUUGUGAUGAUUGAGAGACCAGAGAUAGAACCAUCCAGCUGAGCUGCACCUAGAUUCCUGCCCAUAGAAACUGAGGAGGCAUCACUUCUUAGCCUUUUGGCUAAGAUCAAAUGUAGAAAUUGUGAGUUACUCUGCGUGUGUGUGUGUGUGUGUGUGUGUGUGUUUUAAACCAGUAAGAUUAGGGUAUCUUUUAUUUAGUAAUAGAUAACUAAGAAAGAUUUUGGUGCCUAGAGUUGGAGUGUUUGCCUAACUUAAUUGCAGAAGUGUUGUUGGAACCAGGUAGUAGCCAUUGAGGAGAGUGAUUAUGAAAGCUUAAAGUGCAUCGAACACACUAUUCAUAGACUUUAUGGGUUUGAGGAGCUUGUGGAUGAGUGGAGAAAACAUUAAAACUGAAAGAAAGGCCAUUGUUGUUAUGUAGUUGAAGAACUGUAAUAAACAUUGUCAUCUGCGUUUAUGUGGAAAGAGGAAAGUGUAUUUAAUGAUCUGUGUGAUCUACUUACUAGCAAAAAAAAGAAGCUAGAACCUGAUGCUGUUUUUUUUUUAAAAAAAAUGCUAAAAUUAGGUGCUAAAUUAAGAAACAGCUUCAAAGUACCGAAUCCAGGGAACUGCCAGAAAAAUAUGGUAUGAGGCUAAAACUGAAGGUAUGAUUGUAAAAGCUCUUCUUAAUACUUCAGAAAGAUAAAAACUGGUGUGAUGGUUCAUUUUAUGGGUCAACUUGGAGGGUGUUUUUGGAUAAAAUUAACCUUUAAGUCAGUGAACUUUGAGUAUGUAGAUUGCCCUCCAUAAUAUGAGUGGACCUCAUCCAGUCAGUUGAAAGUCUAAGUAGAACAAAAACUAUCCUCCCAAAGCAAGAGGCAAUUCUCCAGUAGGCUGCCUUCAGACUUCAUCUGUACCAUCAGUUCUCUUGAAUCUCCAGCCUGCCAGCCCACAUGUAGUUUUUAGACUUCCCAUCCUCCAUAAUUACACGAGCAAAUUCCUUAUAAGAAGUCUCUUUCUAUAUUUAAACACAUCCUGCUGGUUCUGUUUCUUUGGAGAACCCCAACUAAUACAGGUGAUAUCAUAGAGUGCUCUUCAGUCAAAUAAAAGACCCUUGAAGGAGACUAAGGGUGUUUUACACAAAUCUUUUCAAUCCAACCAAAGGAUCUCUGAGAAUUGUGAGGGGUUCCUCUCAUCCUUCUCAAUAGGAGACAAAGGUAUAGAUAGGAGAUUUGUGGCAUGUCUUUUUUCUAGUGGAAUGAACCCCAAAAGGAUUUAUAAAAGACCCACAAAGUCUUUUAAACACUUACAUACGCAAAAACAUCACCAGAUUGAACUGAAAAAGAGGCAUUUGGAUCCCAAAACUUCUACAUUUAGAAAACAGGCUGUGAAAACUACUUAGCUGCUAAUGCAUGCUGACUUUUACAAUAAAGAGUAAAUGGCUUUGCGAGCAGAACCAAGGGCCCAGAAGGCAGAGUGAACUAGGAAGCCGACCCUUACUAAGUCCAGUUUUGGGAUAACUAAGCCCUUCUUGCAAUUGGGUUGCAAUAUCUCUAGAAACUGUGAGCAAGAGACACCCAGUCAAGCUACACUUCAUUUCUGACUCACAAAAACUGUCAGAUUAAACUGUUUUUUAAGUGGUUGAAUGUUGAAUAAUAGAGAAAUCACUGGUAGAGAGGGAGAAAUGGACAUUAAGCAGCCUGUUUGUAUAGAUGGGAGUUUAUAGGAGAUGCACAAGUAUUGGUGGUAAGAUUUAGAAGGUGAGUAGAUGAAGGUGAGUAGAUAGUAGUGGUAUCUGGUGAAAGAGGAAGAAAAAUGGAAGAUUAUGGAAUUAAGAAGACAAAAGAAGAAAACAUUUAAAGGUGAAGGUGGAGUCUACUCUCUUCGCAGUUUGAAUGGAGGGCUGUGGGUGAAACAUUAUGUAGAAUAAGGCAAAAACAAAAUACAAUGUGGGAAAAUGAGGGUGCUGAAUAUGAACAGCUAUUCAAACAAUUUUUGUUGGAAAAAAGGAGUGAAGAAAACAGGGUUGCAGCCAAAGAGGAACAUGAAACCAAAGGAUAUAUUUUUAUCUUAAUUUGAAGUGCUAGCGUAUUUAUAUGCUGAAGGAAAAUUGGAAUGGAUGGGGAGAAAUCACACAUGCAUGAGAGAAUAAUUGGAUGGCAUAAAUUGCGAUGACAAAAAUAGAAGGGACCCAGAGAUCAGGCAAAAUAAAUCCCUCUUAUAGGAGCAGGGCAUGGAUCUGUAUUAACAGGGCUGAAAACAGAGGCUAUGUAUUUCGAUAAAAAUUAGUGCAUAGAUUUGAUAUGAGGAUGGUGAGAAAUUUGCCAAAGGAUUUUCAUGGAAUACGUUUCCAUGAUCAUAGAGAGUUUUCUUAUGCCACACUGAUCUAGAUAAAGAUUAUCAUCUUAACAUUAUAGAAAUAUCCUUGUGUUAGGCCAUUGUUGUGUUGCUAUAAAUCUGUAAGACUGGGUAAUUUAUAGAAAAAGAGGAAAUUUAAAUGGCUCACCGUUCUGCAGGCUGUACAGAAAACAGUGCUUCUUGUGAGGGCCUA
rnacentral:lncRNA from 1 species